CGGCUUUCCUCAUUUCGUCAUUUACCUUUUUACCAUUCGCUCAACAACCUCUGUUGGAGUUGCCGCACGCGAGCGAGACAUCUUGCCAAACAUCAUGCAGACGGAGAAAAUAAAGAUCAUGCUAUUCGCUUUAUUCUUCUUACCCAAAGGCCAAGCGCUAAGAUGUUACGGCUGUACAGGUCACGACCCGACGAAACCCUAUGAUGUCAUCAGCAACAACCCCGCAUGUGCAGACGGACAAUUUGAC